GUCGUCGUGAACUUGAGUUAGAGCAGCGUUCACCUGCUUUAAGCUCAUGCAGUGGGAUUUCAGAUGUAAAUUCCAAGAAGUAAAACCAUCUGACAACAACACUUAACCUUGCUUGUGGCCAUGAAGAGGGUGAAGACGAGGAUGAGUGUGCUCUUGGACACCGGCAGCCAGUGAGCCUCCUGCAUGGUGAAGAGGAUUGCUCCAUACAGACUGGCUUUGGUCGGGCUGCAGCGACAGAAGACAAACGAUACACACACAAGCCUCCGUGCUGGAUGACAUGUGUAGUGAUGAGUGCACGAUGUGAGGAAAUCAGAACGGCCAUAGCAGGAAUACUCAGACGUACAAUGACAUGUUGAGGAUCUCGUUGGUCUCGGGCCUCCACACGCCACGCACCAGCUGCUCAAAGUUGGAUAUGAGAGCCACUCCAGACCCUGACAAGAUAAAAAUAAAAUGAGGACAACCA